UUACCUGCAUUUGAUCCUGUUCUCUACAUCCUGAAGUUGAACCGUAAAGGUCUCAAGCCCGACCGUGACAGAAUGAUGCCACCAGACAAUGACCUCGUGGAGAUGGACUUCUGGACCCUGCAUGUCUUCAAGGCAAUGGAGGAGGAGUGUGCACAAUUCACUCCAGAGGAGCUGGAGGAUCUGGACGGGGAACCCUCACUCCCAUAAACAGCCAAAAAUGCCAGUUUUUUGAGGGUGCUGAAAAGAAAACGUAAGGGGGGAAACCUCACACAUUCAAUAGGAGGAAAGCAGAGGAGGCUGAGAGGAGGAGACUGGACGCCAUAACCAAGAGGCAUCUCACUGUCGGGAACAGGAAGUAAACGAAUGCACAUGAAACACAAAAUAGCAAAAUAAAAGCUAAUACGUUGGA